rnacentral:rRNA from 1 species
UACGUAGGGUGCGAGCGUUGUCCGGAAUUAUUGGGCGUAAAGAGCUCGUAGGCGGCCUGUCGCGUCGGAUGUGAAAGCCCGGGGCUUAACCCCGGGUCUGCCAUUCGAUACGGGCAGGCGUAGAGUGUGGUAGGGGAGAUCGGAAUUCCUGGUGUAGCGGUGAAAUGCGCAGAUAUCAGGAGGAACACCGGUGGCGAAGGCGGAUCUCUGGGCCAUUACUGACGCUGAGGAGCGAAAGCGUGGGGAGCGAACAGG